ACAGCGGAGGGAUCAUUACCGAGUUUACAACUCCCAAACCCAAUGUGAACGUUACCAAACUGUUGCCUCGGCGGGAUCUCUGCCCCGGGUGCGUCGCAGCCCCGGACCAAGGCGCCCGCCGGAGGACCAACCUAAAACUCUUAUUGUAUACCCCCUCGCGGGUUUUUUUUAUAAUCUGAGCCUUCUCGGCGCCUCUCGUAGGCGUUUCGAAAAUGAAUCAAAACUUUCAACAACGGAUCUCUUGGUUCUGGCAUCGAUGAAGAACGCAGCGAAAUGCGAUAAGUAAUGUGAAUUGCAGAAUUCAGUGAAUCAUCGAAUCUUUGAACGCACAUUGCGCCCGCCAGUAUUCUGGCGGGCAUGCCUGUCCGAGCGUCAUUUCAACCCUCGAACCCCUCCGGGGGGUCGGCGUUGGGGAUCGGCCCUCCCUUAGCGGGUGGCCGUCUCCGAAAUACAGUGGCGGUCUCGCCGCAGCCUCUCCUGCGCAGUAGUUUGCACACUCGCAUCGGGAGCGCGGCGCGUCCACAGCCGUUAAACACCCAACUUCUGAAAUGUUGACCUCGGAUCAGGUAGGAAUACCCGCUGAACUUAAGCAUAUC
rnacentral:rRNA from 1 species